rnacentral:ncRNA from 1 species
GAUUAAGCUACUAAGAGCGCACGGUGGAUGCCUUGGCGCUAAGGGCCGAUGAAGGACGUGGUAGACUGCGAUAAGCUUCGGGGAGCUGUCAACAAGCAUUGAUCCGGAGAUUUCCGAAUGGGGGAACCCACCCAGGGGAAUGCCUGGGUACUGCACGCCGAAUAUAUAGGCGUGUGGGGGGCACGGAGGGAACUGAAACAUCUUAGUACCUCCAGGAAGAGAGAGUAUUCCCCUAGUAGUGGCGAGCGAACGGGGAAAAGCCCAAACUUGACUCGUGUUAAAGCGUGUAGGCGUUGCGAGUUGAGGGUUGUAAGUCUCGGCAGGGUUACUGCACAAGCCCAAAAGAGUUACAAAUUCAACAUCUAGAGGAAAGAUACUGGAAAGAUCUACCAGAGAGGGAGAUAGUCCCGUACUCGAAAGGUGUUGGACUCUUGCCGAUGAACUUGAGUACCACGGGGCACGCUAAUCCUGUGGGAAGCAGGGGGGACCAAACUCCAAGGCUAAAUACCCUUAGCGACCGAUAGUGAACUAGUACCGUGAGGGAAAGGUGAAAAGAACCGGGGUGACCGGAGUGAAAUAGAACCUGAAACCGUGUGCUUACAAGCAGUGGGAGGGCUAUUUCCGCGCAAGCGGUAAAGCCUGACCGCGUGCCUUUUGGAGAAUGAGCCAGCGAGUUACUCUCUGUGGCGAGGUUAAGGGGGAGUACACCCGGAGCCACAGCGAAAGCGAGUCUUAAUAGGGCGUAGGCUCCCGUAAGGGAGCCGCAGUCGCAGGGAGUAGACCCGAAACCAGGUGAGCUACCCAUGGUCAGGGCGAAGUGAAGGUAAAACUUCAUGGAGGCCCGAACCCUUCACUGUUGCAAAAGCGAGGGAUGAGCUGUGGGUAGGGGUGAAAUGCCAAACGAACUUGGAUAUAGCUGGUUCUCCCCGAAAUAGCUUUAGGGCUAGCGUCGGGUGGUGAAUAGUGGAGGUAGAGCACUGACUCGGCAAGGGGGCGUAUAGCUUACCGAACCGUAUCAAACUCCGAAUGCCACUAUUUAGCAACCCGGCAGUCGGACAGUGGGGGAUGAGCUUCAUUGUCGAGAGGGAAAGAGCCCAGACCGCCAGCUAAGGCCCCAAAGUUUAGGCUAAGUGGGAAAGGAAGUGAGAUUACUGGAACAGCCAGGAGGUUGGCCUAGAAGCAGCCAUCCUUUAAAGAGUGCGUAAUAGCUCACUGGUCUAGUGAUUUCGCGCCGACAAUAUAACGGGGCUUAAGCCUAACGCCGAAGCUGCGGGCCCUAUCGUUCGCGAUAGGGCAGUAGGGGAGCGUUCUGAAGGCAGAGAAGCCAGACCGUGAGGACUGGUGGAGCGUUCAGAAGUGAGAAUGCUGGCAUGAGUAGCGAGAAACAUGUGCGAAACAUGUUCGCCGUAAAUCCAAGGUUUCCGACGGAAGGUUAAUCCGCGUCGGGUUAGUCGGGCCUAAGCCGAGGGCGAGAGCCGUAGGCGAUGGACAACGGGUCAAUAUUCCCGUACCACGCAUGGAAUGUUUGAGCGAUGGGGGGACGCAGAAGGGUAGACCAGCCUGUUAUUGGAUUCAGGUGCCAAACCUGUAGGGCUAUGAGGGAGGUAGGUAAAUCCGCCUCCGGAGCCUGAGGGGUGAUGGCGGUGGCCAAGAGCCCGCAAGUGGUUGAGCCCAUGCUGCCGAGAAAAGCCUCUAGCGAGUUCCGCGUGCCCGUACCGCAAACCGACACAGGUGGAUGGGUAGAGAAUACCAAGGCGAUCGGGAGAACCCUUGUUAAGGAACUAGGCAAAAUGACUCCGUAACUUCGGGAGAAGGAGGGUCCUGUAGGGUGAGAGAGCUAGCCUCUGGAGCCUGGCAGGAUCGCAGAGAAACGGCCCUACUGACUGUUUAACAAAAACACAGGUCUCUGCUAAAGCGAAAGCUGAUGUAUAGGGGCUGACACCUGCCCAGUGCCGGAAGGUUAAAGGGAAAGGUUAGGAGCCAGCUUGCUGGCACCGAAGCUUUGAACUGAAGCCCCGGUGAACGGCGGCCGUAACUAUAACGGUCCUAAGGUAGCGAAAUUCCUUGUCGG